GACGAACGCUGGCGGCGUGCUUAACACAUGCAAGUCGAACGGAAAGGCCCUGCUUUUGUGGGGUGCUCGAGUGGCGAACGGGUGAGUAACACGUGAGUAACCUGCCCUUGUCUUUGGGAUAACUUCAGGAAACUGGGGCUACUACCGGAUCGGAGCUCCUGCUGCAUGGUGGGGGUUGGAAAGUUUCGGCGGUUGGGGAUGGACUAGCGGCUUAUCAGCUUGCUGGUGGGGUAGUGGCAUACCAAGGCUGUGGCGGGUAGCCGGCCUGAGAGGGUGACCGGCCACAAUGGGACUGAGAGACGGCCCAGACGCCUACGGGAGGCAGCAGGGGGGAAUAUUGCACAAUGGGCGGAAGCCUGAUGCAGCAACGCCGCGUGCGGGAUGACGGCCUUCGGGGUGUAAACCGCUUUCGCCUGUGACGAAGCGGGAGUGACGGUAAUGGGUAAAGAAGCACCGGCUAACUACGUG
rnacentral:rRNA from 1 species